UGUAACCCAGACAACUAGAUAAUAUUAUACUAUUGUACAUGUAACCCAGACAACUAGAUUAUGUUAUACAUGUUGUGCUGCCAUCCUGUUAGAAGGUAACAGAUUAUUUUAUUACAAUGGUUAAAUUGGAUUUGCAUUGUGUUCAAUGGUGUUAUUUGCCCCCUAGUGGCGCUUUCUGGUACUUAGAAAGACAACGCAAACGGGAAGUUCAGAAUUUGUUUUGCACGCAUAGAAGCAGCUACAAACAACGCUACGGUGCAGGUCUUUCAAUGUAGUUAUUUCUUGUCACGCUUCAGCCUUGGAAAAAUAUUUGUUUUUUCACAACAUAAACGUUUGCAAUAUAUUCAUUCAAGAAAA